AUUGAACGCUGGCGGCAGGCCUAACACAUGCAAGUCGAGCGGAUGAAGGGAGCUUGCUCCUGGAUUCAGCGGCGGACGGGUGAGUAAUGCCUAGGAAUCUGCCUGGUAGUGGGGGAUAACGUCCGGAAACGGGCGCUAAUACCGCAUACGUCCUGAGGGAGAAAGUGGGGGAUCUUCGGACCUCACGCUAUCAGAUGAGCCUAGGUCGGAUUAGCUAGUUGGUGGGGUAAAGGCCUACCAAGGCGACGAUCCGUAACUGGUCUGAGAGGAUGAUCAGUCACAGUGAGAGGGAGACACGGCCCGGACACCUAGGGGGGCAGGCGGGGGGAAAUUGGGAAGAAGGGGGGAAGCCGUGACCCAGCCUUGCGGGGGGUGGAAAGAUGGUCUUUGGAUUGAAAAGAAGUUAAGGUUGGGAGAAAGGGCAGUAAUUAAAUACCUUCUUGUUUGGAGGUACCAAAAAAAAAAAACCCGGGCAAAUUUCGGG
rnacentral:rRNA from 1 species